CGGCGGACGGGUGAGUAACGCGUGGGUAACCUGCCUCAUACAGGGGGAUAACAGUUGGAAACGGCUGCUAAUACCGCAUAAGCGCACAGUACCGCAUGGUACGGUGUGAAAAACUCCGGUGGUAUGAGAUGGACCCGCGUCUGAUUAGCUAGUUGGUAAGGUAACGGCUUACCAAGGCGACGAUCAGUAGCCGACCUGAGAGGGUGACCGGCCACAUUGGGACUGAGACACGGCCCAA
rnacentral:rRNA from 1 species